rnacentral:rRNA from 1 species
AACGAACGCUGGCGGCAUGCCUAACACAUGCAAGUCGAACGAAGGCUUCGGCCUUAGUGGCGCACGGGUGAGUAACGCGUGGGAAACUGCCUAUUGGUGGGGAAUAACGACGGGAAACUGUCGCUAAUACCGCAUAAGCCCUUCGGGGGAAAGAUUUAUCGCCGAUAGAUGUGCCCGCGUCCGAUUAGCUAGUUGGUGAGGUAAUGGCUCACAAAGGCGACGAUCGGUAGCUGGUCUGAGAGGAUGAUCAGCCACACUGGGACUGAGACACGGCCCAGACUCCGACGGGAGGCAGCAGUGGGGAAUAUUGGACAAUGGGCGAAAGCCUGAUCCAGCAAUGCGGCGUGAGUGAUGAAGGCCUUAGGGUUGUAAAGCUCUUUCGGGUGGGACGAUGAUGACGGUACCACCAGAAGAAGCCCCGGCUAACUUCUUGCCAGCCGCCGCCGUAA